CUUGGAUUACAUAGCGGUAGGGGCAGAGAAAAUGGCUUUUCACCACCAAUAUACAGAGUUCGAUAGGUAGAGAAAGUCAAGGCCAUUGUGUUCUGUAUUGAUAACAACUCCUUUCCUUAAAAAACUAAAAAAAAAAAAAAUCAGUACUUUUCAGAAUGUUUUUUGGGAAAAGAUCAUGUCUUCACUUCCCACGACCAGCCACAAAUCAGCAAACAGUAAAGAAAGGAAGCUUGCUUUCAAGGAUCAGGCCUGUGACAAAAUCUAGUCUGAACUUACCAUCACUGGUCAAGUCUCAGAAGCUGAAACGCUGUGAUAAAAUGGAUGAGAUAAAUGAAGUAUUCCUAAAGCUCUCUAUGCUUUACAACAAUUUGCCUGAUCCACUGAGAGAUAUAUUGCUUCAAUGUGCAUGUGAAGAUCAACAAAAGUGUUAUAAGGUUUCCUACUUUGACAAUUUCUCGAUGAAUUUGAUACCUAAAGAGGCAUAUUGUUCACCACCGCCAAGUCAUAUGCCUCUAUCAAAAAGAAGGGUUUCCAACCAGAUUGCCAAUCAGCCUAGACCUUUAGGAGUCUAUAGACAAGAUAUGCCGCUAGCAACUAUCAUUGCAAGAUGGAUACCGAAGACCAUGUCAUUUCAAUAUGACCAGCAAUCAACUAUUCAAGAACUUGCGAAUUUUGGUGACAUUGAAUCCCUCAUCCCUUGUGGAAGACAAACAGUCAUUGUCACAUUCAAAGAAAUUCGCUCUGCAUGCAAAGCAGUGAGUGCUUUCCCGCCUAAUGGCCCAAACAGGCAACUCCAGUGCUUUUGGCAUCAUAAAUUCAUGUCACAAUACAAAAUUCUAAAAGACAAAGAAAGCUAAGCUCUAGCCAGAAUGAAGGGACCAUCUGGAUAUGUAUCCAAGAUGGUCAACAGCUGUCCCUCUACAUCACAAGUGAAAAGCAGGAAGAAGUUCAUUUGUUGUCUUGCAACCUUCUUCUGGGCUUCCUUAUACUUUCCCUCCUGUGAAUUGAUGAUGGCAUUAGAAAUGUACAAAAUAUUUCAGUCUUACAACAUUCCAAAGGAAGCACAUAUAGCUCCAAGAACAAAACAUUUGCUUCAAGUGGUGUCAUUUCAAGUAUACAGUUUGUUCUGAAGUUCUUACAG